AGAGAGCAUAAGUGUGACUAAGACGUUUGUUGUGCGCAGGCGCAACUGAUCGUCACAGUUUUCCCGCAGUUUGACAAGAGUGCAAGAAAAUAUUUUGUUGUGGAUUUUUUGUUAUACAAGGUCGAAGGAGAAACGUUCCACUAUGGGGUUGUGUUUUUCGUUCGACUGUGGCGAUGAUUGCUGCAGUGUAAACCCCUGUUGUUUGGCGUUAACGGCCUGUUGUUGCAUCCCUUGUCUAUGCCCGAACGCAUGUGGACAGCAACAGCAACAACAACCGCCCCAGACGGUAGUUAUCCAACAGCCACCUGUGUAUAUUGAACAGCAACCAGGUUAUCCGCAUCAGCCUGGAGGUUACCCUGGAUACCCGCAGCCGCCACAACAGGGAUACCCUGGCUACCCCUCAUACAGAUGAACGGAUUCUCAAAUAGUUAAGGAUGGGCUGUAACAUAUCCUGUCGUCCGUGUUGCUGCUGUUGUAUACCAUGUCUUUGCUGUGACUGCUGCCCCGACCCACCUCGUACCAGAGUGGUGCACACCACAACUGUUGUUACUGUACCCGUUCAACAUACACCGCGCUAUGAGCCACCUCCCCCCUAUAGAUAGCCAGGAAAUCUAAAAACGCAAAGUAAAAAAAUCCUGUAAAAUUAGAUACACAGAACUUAAUUAGUAUCAGAGCCAAUUAAAGAAAAUUUCUCAUAGCAAUUUUUACAAAUUAUAUUCGUAAUUAACUACGCAAUUUUAACCUUUAGGGGCGAAUGUCCUUAAGUGUACUGAACAAUAUCGUAUUUUUUUAAAUUAAAAUACAGAUAUAUUCAAUUUUCAGACCCAUUCGAAAUGUUUAAAUUAUUACAGGGCUUCUUGUACGCAUAUUUAAUAAGAACAAAAUGAUAAAAUUGCUUUGAAGCUGUGUCCUGAUUUAGUAUUAUUAAAUACUUUUUCUAAUAUAAAAUCUUUACUUGAAUAUGCAAUCCGAAUUACAUAGGUAAUACUUUAUGUUCUUAAUAUAAAUUUAGAAUAGGAAGCCUACGGCUAACAUUUUCUUUAUCUAAGAGCCUGUUUAACACCGUCGACUUCGGGCCUUUUUUUCGGGCAUAAUUAUAGUUAUUUAUUUUACGGAGAUACUAAAUUUUUGGAGCGUUUUUAAUGAUUUGUUUUGAGAAAACCUACGUAUUAACACUCUUCAGAUAUCAAGCUCGUAAUAACACAAGAAAAUAAUAUGCACGCCAGCAACGACAUGAAACACAACAGCUAUGUACUUUUUUAUGUAAUUUAAAAAACUUUCGUAAGUGCAAUUCCUUAUUGUUUGUUUUUAUAAAUAUCUUAUUUUUACACGUUACCAUUUUGUCACAGUAGUGUUUGUUAUUUAUUGUAAAUAAAUGUAUUUGGUUAAUAAGUAUUUUUAUGAAUCCUGCUAUAUUGUUAUCAUCGUUGUCGUGAUAGAGAUUACAGAUUUAUGGUAUUUCGGAUUUAGUUUAUUCUCAAUAAUAACAUGUAUAUUAUUACCUCAGAAAAAUACUUAAAAAUUAGAAAAAAUAUCAUGUCACCUUUGUACGGUACUUCCUCCAUGUUAUAAUUGUGUAGUGUAUGUUCAUUUAGUGUAAAUGUAAGUAUAAGUAUAGUUUGUUAGUAAGGUACUACGAUAGAAAAGAAGAUAGUUUCAGUAAGGAUACAACGAAUUAAUACGAGUUUCCAUCUCCGAUAAUUUAGAAAAGGUUCGUGCAUAUCACAUAACGGAUAUACUUUGUCCCAUGAAGCGUGCCUUGGUGCCUGUUUCUAUGUACUCGGUGCCUCUAACUACAAUAUUUAGUGUUGACAAAUUAUUUGAUAUGAAAUAUAACUAAUAACACGCUUAUAAAAAAACCUUCGCAUGCAAUGAAUCUCGCAUUACUUUAGAACAAUGUGAUUACCAUAAUGUACAUGUAAUGUAAGUCUUAAAUGAUGAAUUAAUGAAUGAUUCCGUCAUAUAUUAUGUUUGAGUAUAAACAACGUCAACCAACAAUGCAAAAUGCAUGAUCUGUCUCUUUCCGAGCAGCUUGAACCCACGUAGAGAUCUGGGAACACUCUACAUCUUCUACCUCAAAUUUUAAUUCUUUACUCCUCAUUUGAUUUAAGGUCAUUUUAUUAUGACGAAUUAUAUCGAAUGUUCUAAUGAUAGUGUCAUUUGGAAAGGGUUGGAAGAUACCUUUUCCAAAUGGUGACUAACAUUAUUAAUGAAUGUUACAUAUCCAUUGCAUUCCUGCAUAAGCAGUACCUGUACCCUCUGAUGCAACGAUAAAAGGAAGCGGACAACAGAUACCAAUAGCUUUGGUCGGAUACCUUACAUCCGGUCAAAUUCUCUACUACUAAUAAGUCUAUAAUAUAUUUGUAGAUUAUUUGUCGUGCAUAUAAAAUUGUCAUAUUUAGUUAAGUGUCUUAGUAUGUAAAUUAAGGAUAUGGAAAUAAAACAAGGCUUUAUUAUUAUUUAUAUCUAAAUUACCAAUAAGCAACGAAUUCCGAAAAAUAUUAAUACUGUACUUCGUAUGUAAGAUAAGUCUUAUCAAGAGAUAACUUAUGUAUUUCAGUCGAUAGCGCUUUUUUUUUAUUCAGUAUACAGUGACUUCAAAAUGGGCUUGUGCAUUACAAUUGAUUGCGGGAAUCCUUGCGAAAGUUGUUGCAACGGUGGUGACAGUUGUAACCCUUGCUGUAUGGCUUUGACGGGCCUCUGUUGUAUACCUUGUUGUUGCCCAAACGCAUGUGGACAAAAUAACCAAGAUCAACCACCACAGACAAUUAUUAUAAAUCAACCGCCAGUUAUAAUAGAUAAUCAGGUUCCAGAUUACGCCUAUCCACCGUACGGGCAGCCAGGAUAUGACCAACCUGUAUACAGAUAAAUUAUAAAUAUUGGAAUAUGGAUCACGGCUGAAGAUGGGCGGUUCUGUGUCAAUCCGUCCUUAUUGCUGCUGCUGUAAUCCAUGUCUAUGCUGUAAAUGUCAAUAUGAACAUAGUCCGAAAGUCGUUUACCAUACAACCAUUGAGGUUCCUGAGUCAUCAGCCCCUGAGGUUCCUUCUAAGAACUAUGACCCACCGCCGCCUUAUGUUGAUACCUAAUGUUUUAUCUAACGCAAUAUUCUAAGGGAACAAAUAUUAUCUAUAAAUUGAUACACUUUCUUGAAAUUAAGAAUGAUACAACCAUUGUAAGGCUUUCGUUGGUUUAUUUUAUUUGUAAAAUACUAUACAAUGAAUACUUAUUAUUCGGUUUUCAGCAUGAAGCCAUUAUUUUUUCCUUAUUUAUGCGCUAAUUAGCAUUUAUUACAAGUAAUCGAUAACUUUUAUGCAACAUAAAUAAUUAUUUGAUUUAUUUUUCUCCGUAUAAAUUGAAACAAAGGCUUAGAAAAUUGAAGGUAAUAUAAAAAAGCACAUAACAGUGUAUAUACGUUACCAAACGCUUAACUAAAGCAUUAAAAUUAACGUGUAAUUUACUUGUAUACAUAUAUCUGUAUACAAGUUUGUUGUAAAUAAUGUUUAUUAUUAAGUGUAACACAUUAAAAUAAUAGCAGGGGUUUAAUAAAAAUAUGUCAUAUUGAUUAUAUAAAUUAUUUAAUUGCCCUACCCGAAUUUAGAUUUUCAGAAAUCACAAAAUUACUUCGUAUAUCUUAUCAUAUGCUCACUGAUUGAUCGUUUAGUAUCUUAUCUCGAAUAUUCCAGGAAUUGAACCAUUUAUUCAUACAAUAUAAAAGCUAAAUUCAAAGAAUAGCGAAUUUAUUUUAUAUCUUUACUCGAACAAUUAAAUUUUCAAUAUGGGCUUAAUAUGUAGCAGUUGUUGUUGCGACAGUGAUCCACCGGCAGGAGAUGGAGUUUAUGUUGCCGACAACAAUCCUGGGUACAAUCCUGGGUAUCCACAAGACGUAGUUGUUAUACAGGAUGAGCCUGUGAACUACGGAAGAUAACUACAAUCUCUAUGAAGAUUAUUUUUAGUGUUCGAUUUAAAAUAGCCUAUUAACAUUUUAACUGUAAUAGUGAACACUCUCUUGCUUCAUUGACUGUCCAUAUAAUUAUUAUUCAUAGCUUUAUAAAAUUCAUUUGUUGUCUGUUUUAGGAAACUCAUUAGUUCUUAUGGUGUUAUUAUAUUGUAUGUGCCAACCUAAUUGAAUUUCAUGUUACAAGGUCUUAACUAAGGAUAAGACUAUUAAAUUAUGAUAACGAGUUGUUUUCUUGGAACUUUAUCAAUCUAUCUAUGCAGCAGUUUAUUGAUUAAAUAUUUUAAACGAUA